CUUCCUUUACUUUCCUUCUGCUUCAAGUUAUAUUAUACCAUCCUCUACUUUACUCUCUGUGAAUUUUCAAAAACAAAACUUUACUAUCUGUGACUGACUCUAUACUUCUUACAUAGACACACACACACACAAACACAAAAUCUCAGCCAACCCAGAGCAGAGUUUGUGUUCUUCAUCAUCAUCAUCAAAGAUCAUCGAAACAUUCAAAAAGUCUCAAACUUUCCCUUUCAUUGCUUCAUCCACCUUCAUUCUGCGCCCAGUAAAAGAAACCCCACCAAAACAAACAUGCGUCGUGGAACUGGCCGUGGCAGAGAUAGGAGCACCGGAGCCAAAUGGGUUCAAAAGAAGACCGGGGAUUCAGUGCAUCGUCACAGCCCUAUUGGAGCAGAUAGACUUGCUGAGGAGGCUGUUUGUGGUAAGGAUGGAUCCUCCAUAGGCGAAAGGAAUAAUUCGCAGCAAAUGUCACAUGGUAGUGCUCCAAAGCACUCUGACUAUAAACCCAAAUUUGGUAGCAAAAACAGGCAGGAGUGGCAUUCACGUGGUGGCAUUCAAGAGAUUGGAGCAGAUAGACUUGCUGAGGAGGCUGUUUGUGGUAAGGAUGGAUCCUCCAUAGGCGAAAGGAAUAAUUCGCAGCAAAUGUCACAUGGUAGUGCUCCAAAGCACUCUGACUAUAAACCCAAAUUUGGUAGCAAAAACAGGCAGGAGUGGCAUUCACGUGGUGGCAUUCAAGAGGUUGGGGCAGACAGACUUGCUGAGGAGACUGUUGGUGGUGGGGAUGGAUCCUCCACAGGGAAAAGGAAUAAUUUGCAGCAAAUGUCACAGGGUAGUGUUCCAAAGAACUCCGAGAAUAAACCCAAACUUGGUAGCAAAACCCAGCAGGAGUGGCAUUCACAUGGUGGCAAAGAUGGUUUUGCUAAUAUAGUGAGGUCUCAACAAGGAAGAAAUUCACCAGAGAGUGUAGGCAGUAGAUCAAAACAAUUACCGGAUGAUCUCCGGCACCAAGCAGCUCCUUCCAACGAAAGAGCCAGUUUGGAGGUGGAUGUGGAAUCCAAGUUGAAAAAAAAUUCUGUCCAUCAGGUUGAGACUCAGCCCCUCUCUGUAUCUGCUACAAUAUUUGAACCUUCUUCAAGCAAGGAUCCAAAAAGUUCUGCAGGCCAUAAAAUUUUAGAGCAUUCUGAGCACUCCACAAUGCUUGACUCUUUUGAUCUCUGCCCAACCAAAUCUGAGAAAACUGUAAUGCUCAAACCUUCUUUACUUGUACAGAAUAGAGAAAAGCGGAAUGAAAUCAAGUCCUCCUUGGAGGAGCAAAAUGGAGAUGUGUUGAGGGCUGGGAUGGUCCUUCUAAAGAGUUACAUAUCAGUCAGUGAUCAGGUCAAAAUAGUAAAAAAAUGCCGAGACCUUGGUCUGGGUCCUGGAGGUUUCUACCAACCAGGUUACCGUGAUGGAGCAAAACUGCAAUUGAAGAUGAUGUGCCUCGGUAAAAAUUGGGACCCUGAGACAGGUAACUAUGGAGAUCACCGUCCAGUCGAUGAGGCUAAACCACCCACUAUACCUGCUGAAUUCUAUGAGUUGGUAAAAAAAUCAAUUGAAGAUUCCCAUUCCCUUAUUCAGAAAAAUUCCAAAUCAAGCAAUGUAGAAAGCAUACUUCCCUGCAUGUCACCAAACAUUUGUCUUGUAAAUUAUUACUCUGAAAAUGGUCGACUUGGUCUCCAUCAGGAUCGUGAUGAAAGCCCAGAAAGUCUUGCUAAAGGUUUACCUGUGGUCUCUUUUUCAAUUGGUGACAAGGCAGACUUCUUAUACGGUGAUCAGAGGGAUGUUGACAAGGCAGACAAGGUUGUGCUGGAAUCCGGAGAUGUUCUUAUAUUCGGUGGAAAAUCUAGGCAUAUUUUUCAUGGUGUUACAGCCAUUCACCCAAACAGUGCACCAAAGUCCUUGCUUGAAGAAACAAAACUCCGGCCUGGCCGGUUGAAUCUUACUUUCAGACAGUAUUGAAAACCUUGGUAUAUAUUUGGAACUCCCUCAAAGUGAUUAAGAAAGUUUCUUGAAGCAGAGAGGUACAUGAUAGUUUUGUUGAUGUAAUAACCGUUUAUGUAGAUAUUCUGGGUGGUCAUUAUAAGCCCUGCUUAGGCCCUUACCUUUUGAUGAUGACCCUUCCCUUUCCUCUCCUAUCUCUCCAUCUCCCCACAUCCAAAGUCCAAACAUAUGCAAAAAUGACGUGUAUCACUGUUUUCCUUGUAAUUUAUGUUUCAGUUUUCAUUUUUACAAUUUUCCUUUCUUCCCCCUUCCCCUAAAACAACUUUUAGCUCUUUUUAUUUAUUUUUUCAUUAAACGACCUGUAGAGGUGGCAUAUUUUUGUUUCAAGUAAUACUAAUGGCAUAAAAUUCCAUAUAUAAAAUGGUCUAUUAUUGCAAA